rnacentral:rRNA from 1 species
GAUGAACGCUGGCGGCGUGCCUAAUACAUGCAAGUCGAGCGAACAGACGAGGAGCUUGCUCCUCUGACGUUAGCGGCGGACGGGUGAGUAACACGUGGAUAACCUACCUAUAAGACUGGGAUAACUUCGGGAAACCGGAGCUAAUACCGGAUAAUAUAUUGAACCGCAUGGUUCAAUAGUGAAAGACGGUUUUGCUGUCACUUAUAGAUGGAUCCGCGCCGCAUUAGCUAGUUGGUAAGGUAACGGCUUACCAAGGCGACGAUGCGUAGCCGACCUGAGAGGGUGAUCGGCCACACUGGAACUGAAACACGGUCAAGACUCCUACGGGAGGCAGCAGUAGGGAAUCUUACGCAAUGGGCGAGAGCAUGACGGAGCAACGCCGCGUGAGUGAUGAAGGUCUUCGGAUCGUAAAACUCUGUUAUUAGGGAAGAACAAAUGUGUAAGUAACUAUGCACGUCUUGACGGUACCUAAUCAGAAAGCCACGGCUAACUACGUG